UACGAAGGGGGCUAGCGUUGCUCGGAAUCACUGGGCGUAAAGGGUGCGUAGGCGGGUCUUUAAGUCAGGGGUGAAAUCCUGGAGCUCAACUCCAGAACUGCCUUUGAUACUGAAGAUCUUGAGUUCGGGAGAGGUGAGUGGAACUGCGAGUGUAGAGGUGAAAUUCGUAGAUAUUCGCAAGAACACCAGUGGCGAAGGCGGCUCACUGGCCCGGUACUGACGCUGAGGUGCGAAAGCGUGGGGAGCAACAGGG
rnacentral:rRNA from 1 species